rnacentral:rRNA from 1 species
UGCGUAGGUGGUUUCUUAAGUCAGAGGUGAAAGGCUAUGGCUCAACCGUAGUAAGCCUUUGAAACUGAGAAACUUGAGUGCAGGAGAGGAGAGUAGAAUUCCUAGUGUAGCGGUGAAAUGCGUAGAUAUUAGGAGGAAUACCAGUUGCGAAGGCGGCUCUCUGGACUGUAACUGACACUGAGGCACGAAAGCGUGGGGAGCAAACA